CGCCCCUUGUCCGCUCAAUCCGUCUUUCUCACCUACUGCGUGCGGUUGGAGGAAUGGCGUUUGAGACAAAGCAAGUUGACGAUAUUUUUUCUAAGUGCGCAUAAGCUAUCAAUUGAUUAAUGUGGGGAGGAAGUUAUUUGUAGUUUUUAUUAGAUAAUAGUAUUUGAGUGUAACUCAGUUUUAGGUUACUUGCUAGCAGUUGGCUGCUAAGUCAUUGUGGUGGCUAGCUUGUCAGGCUAGCUUUAGGGCAGCCUAAAAUAUAUUUAGUUACGUUUAGGUUUUUAUCCGACUUUUUUUAUUUAAAUCCAAGCUGGUGCAAUAAACCGACAACUCAAAAGCCUUGGCUACGAUAAUCUAAACUCAAAUCUUGCUGUUGUGGAAAAUCAGGUAAUGUGAACUGUGCAAUUGAAUCAUCACCGCUUCCAUUCAACCCCUGGAAGAUCUUCAGAUCUUCUUCCUAUUUAUGCAUUUCUAUUGACUAAGAUUUGUACAAAAUGUUACUUUUGGUUGAAAGUGUUCAAUAAAUGCAGUGACUUAACUCA